rnacentral:misc_RNA from 1 species
AUGAAGAACGCAGCGAAAUGCGAUAAGUAGUGUGAAUUGCAGAAUUCAGUGAAUCAUCGAAUCUUUGAACGCACAUUGCGCCUCCUGGUAUUCCGGGAGGCAUGCCUGUUCGAGCGUCAUUAAAAUCACUCAAGCUUAGGUUUACCUAUUGCUUGGUCUUGGAGAUGGAAGCCAAUUUAUUGGAAUCCUCUUCGAAAUUCAAUGGCGAAGACCCUUGCUCUCCCAAGUGUAGUAAUAACUUAUGUCACUGAAGGAAGCGAGAAAUCUUCUGCCGUAACCCCCAUAUUUUCUAUGAUUGACCUCGGAUCAGGUAGGGAUACCCGCUGAACUUAAGCAUAUCAAUAAGCGGAGGA